CACGUAGGAUCCGAGCGUUAUCCGAAUUUACUGGGCGUAAAGCGCGUGCAGGCGGUUCGGUAAGUUGGAUGUGAAAUCUCCUGGCUCAACUGGGAGAGGACGUUCAAUACUGUCGGACUAGAGGAUGGUAGAGGGAGGUGGAAUUCCCGGUGUAGUGGUGAAAUGCGUAGAUAUCGGGAGGAACACCAGUGGCGAAGGCGGCCUCCUGGGCCAUUCCUGACGCUCAGACGCGAAGGCUAGGGUAGCGAACGGG
rnacentral:rRNA from 1 species